AGAGUUUGAUCCUGGCUCAGGAUGAACGCUAGCUACAGGCUUAACACAUGCAAGUCGAGGGGCAGCAUGGUCUUAGCUUGCUAAGACCGAUGGCGACCGGCGCACGGGUGAGUAACGCGUAUCCAACCUGCCGAAGGCCCGGGGGCAGCCUCCCGAAAGGGAGAUUAAUACCCGAUGGCGCGGGGAAACCGCAUGGUUUUCCCGCUAAAGGAAUCCGGCCUUCGAUGGGGAUGCGUUCCAUUAGGUAGUAGGCGGGGCAACGGCCCACCUAGCCGACGAUGGAUAGGGGUUCUGAGAGGAAGGUCCCCCACAUUGGAACUGAGACACGGUCCAAACUCCUACGGGAGGCAGCAGUGAGGAAUAUUGGUCAAUGGGCGCGAGCCUGAACCAGCCAAGUAGCGUGAAGGACGAAGGCCCUAUGGGUUGUAAACUUCUUUUGCGGGGGGAUAAAACGCGCCACGCGUGGCGUCUUGCAGGUACCCCGCGAAUAAGGGUCGGCUAACUCCGUGCCAGCAGCCGCGGUAAUACGGAGGACCCGAGCGUUAUCCGGAUUUAUUGGGUUUAAAGGGUGCGUAGGCGGGACCUUAAGUCAGUUGUGAAAUCCGGCGGCCCAACCGUCGGCCUGCAGUUGAUACUGGGGUCCUUGAGUUCGGACGAGGCAGGCGGAAUUCGUGGUGUAGCGGUGAAAUGCAUAGAUAUCACGAAGAACCCCGAUUGCGUAGGCAGCCUGCCAGGCCGCGACUGACGCUGAGGCACGAAAGAGCGGGUAUCGAACAGGAUUAGAUACCCUGGUAGUCCGCACAGUAAACGAUGAAUACUCGCUGUCCGCGAUAGACUGCGGGCGGCCGAGCGAAAGCGUUAAGUAUUCCA
rnacentral:rRNA from 1 species